ACUGCCGAAUAUACAGAAGUUAAAGCCGGAGCAAGAACCAGGUUUGCUAACUUUUGUUUGUCUGAUUAUUCUGACUUGUUGUUUCCGGACGGUUUCGGUGCAUGAUAUACGUCACGACCACAUGUUAGCGAUUGGCUUUGGCAGAUCCUGAGUGACUGCACUGUAACAAAUUGCUGUAGUUUCUACAGCAAAAUUUUACAGGAAAUUCCUGUUUUAACAUUUUACAAGAUUUUAGUGUAGUUCACAAUGCAUUAUGGGUAAAAGAAAGUAUUACAGCUGUUAACAGUAUAUUUUCAUUUAAACUGUAAUUGAAUUUACAGGCAGGAGGUGUUGCCACUGUAUAUCAUAUGUUUUUACAAAAAUUAAUUGUGAAAUGGCAUCAUGGGAUUGCGUGGGUGUAUUUACGUUUGAAAUGGACUUGAACACUGAAGAGUCAUCAUUCAAAUUGUUGGUAAGUUCACGUAAAUCAUUCAAAUAUAGUACAGUAUUAAACUAAUAUAGUACUAUUAUGGUCAUUUAAAUAGUGAUAUCUGGUAUGCGACCGCUAUACCAGAUAUUAUUAACAUAACAGAUGUUAAUAAUUUGUAUUUCACAACAGCGUGUCAUUAAGACAUGUAGCAAAAUAUAAAAUUAAAUUCUUUACAUUAUUUUAAAUGUUACAUUUGGUAGUUAUGUGUCAUUAACUUUAUAACGUUUCAGAUGUUUGUUUCAGGCAUGAGCGAGGCAGCAAAAAGCGCGAGGGGUCCGUAACGGCUGGACUGCAUGGUGGCAAAGAGUGGUGGUGAGACGAAUCUUCGAACUUACAGGCACGAGACAGCAGAGAUUGCAACUCUAACCUGAUAGGACUGGUGGUGUGAGACAAAUGAGAAAAGAUUAUUUUUAGGUGAAAUCCUCAAUGCAACUUAGUGGAUGCUGAGUAUGGACGGUCAGGUGGUUGUGAAUCCACACCCCAACCUUGUGGCUGGAUUUGCAGCUUUGUUCGCAUCAUACUACAACUUCAACCUGGUUUACCAUAGGGAGGCAUCCUCCACACUUGAAUUUGUUCAAAGAUGUUUUGUUGGAAUCACACCUACCACUGGCAUCAAGACAGCCAAAACAAAGGUUGGAGGCAAAAAAGUGGAAACGCCUCUGAGAAGAGAAACAACACCAUCAACCCUCAUGUGUGUACUCUUUUCAGAAAAUUAUUGGACUUUGAAUGGUUACGCAUGUAAGUUCUUGUUCAUGUAUUAAGACCAAAACAUAUUGUAAAUAGGCCAGUUCUGUGAUUGAGCACUUGUGUUUCUAGACAUACAAGUUAUGUUAUGUUCUAACACAGAUUCAACAAGAUCUUAAAUGUAACACAAACCGUGUUUAGAUGUUUUAUAGAUGCCAUUGUUUUAGAAUAUUAAGGAUUGAGUGGAAUAUUUGCUGAAACAACAUAAUUUUUUUGAAAGUACUUUGCUGUCAGUUUUAAUAAAUGUUGUUCUUGAAGCA